GUCUUUUCGAGGUAGGAGUCGACUCCUGUGAGGUAUGGUGCUGGGUGCAGAUGCAGUGUGGCUCUGGAUAGCACCUUAUGGACAGUUGUGUCCCCAAGGAAGGAUGAGAAUAGCUACUGAAUUGUUUCUUCCCAGGUCCUAAAGAGCAAGCCUAACUCAAGCCAUUGGCACACAGGCAUUAGACAGAAAGCUGGAAGUUGAAAUGGUGGAGUCCAACUUGCCUGGACCAGCUUAAUGGUUCUGCUCCUGGUAACGUUUUUAUCCAUGGAUGACUUGCUUGGGUAUGGAGAGUCGGCUUGACUACACUGUGUGGAGCAAGUUUUAAAGAAGCAAAGGACUCAGAAUUCAUGAUUGAAGAAAUGCAGGCAGACCUGUUAUCCUAAACUAGGGUUUUUAAUGACCACAACAAGCAAGCAUGCAGCUUACUGCUUGAAAGGGUCUUGCCUCACCCAAGCUAGAGUGCAGUGGCCUUUGAAGCUUACUACAGCCUCAAACUUCUGGGCUCAAGUGAUCCUCAGCCUCCCAGUGGUCUUUGUAGACUGCCUGAUGGAGUCUCAUGGCACAAGAAGAUUAAAACAGUGUCUCCAAUUUUAAUAAAUUUUUGCAAUCCAU
rnacentral:lncRNA from 1 species